UACGUAGGGGGCAAGCGUUGUCCGGAAUCAUUGGGCGUAAAGAGCGUGUAGGCGGCCAGAUAAGUCCGCUGUGAAAUCUCGAGGCUCAACUUCGAGCUGUCGGUGGAAACUGUCUGGCUAGAGUCCGGGAGAGGAGAGUGGAAUUCCUGGUGUAGCGGUGAAAUGCGCAGAUAUCAGGAGGAACACCGGUGGCGAAGGCGGGUCUCUGGGCCGAUACUGACGUGAGGAGCGAAAAGCGUGGGGAGCAACGG
rnacentral:rRNA from 1 species